ensembl:snoRNA
UUGCCCUUUUAAGGUUGCCGCGGUACUUUAAAAGGCUAACACAGAAGAGUAAAAGAACUCUCCAUGAAACCCAGAGGAAACUGUGCACUUCCUCUUUGGAUGAUGGAGGAAGGUCA